CUUUGGGAGGCCGAGGCGGGCUGAUCACUUGAGGUCAGGACUUCGAGACCAGCCUGGCCAACAUGGUGAAACCCCUUCUCUACUAAAAAUACAAAAAUUAGCCUGGCGUGGUGGCACACAACUAUAGUCCUAGCUACUCAGGAGGCUGAGGCAGGAGAAUCACUUGAACUGGGGAGGCGGAGGUAGCUGUGAGCCAAGACUGCACCACUGCACCCCAGCCUGGGCGACAGAGCAAGACUGUCUCAAAAAAAAAAAAAAAAAAAAAAAGAUUUCAUAUGAAAAGUCAUCUCAGAUGGGUCUUUUGUCACCCAGGCCAGAGUGCAGUGGCUCCAUCUCAGCUCAUUACAGCCUUGACCUCCCAGGCUCAAGUGAUCCUCCUACCUGAACCUCCAGAAUAGCUGAGACUACAGGUGCACACCAUCAUACCUGGCUAAUUUAAUUUUUUUUUUUUUUUUUGAGAUAAGAGUUCUGCCACUUUGCUCAUGCUGGUCUCAGACUCUUUUUUUUUUUUUUUUUUCCUGAGACCGAGUCUUGCUCUGUCACCCAGGCUGGAGUACAGGGGCAUGAUCUUGGCUCACUGCAACCUCCAUCUUCUGGGUUCAAGCCAUUCUCCUGCCUCAGCAUCCCCAGUAGCUGGGGUUACAGGCACGUGCCACCAUGCCCAGCUAAUUUUAGUAUUUUAGUAGAGAUGGGGUUUCACCAUGUUGGCCAGGCUGGUCUCAAACUCCUGACCUCAAGUGAUCCACUCAUCUUGGCCUCCCAAAGUGCUAGGAUUACAGGCAUGAGCUACCACACCCAGCCAGGUCUCAAACUCAAGCUCAAGUGAUCUUCCUGCCUUGGCCUCAAAGGUACUGGGAUUACAGUUACUCGCUGGAAGUGGUGGGAAUCAUAAAAAACAACCAGGACCUUGCAUCCUAGUAUAGAAGCCACAACUGUGGAAGCUUAACAGCCAGGCAAAUGCCCACAAACCACCACCCUCUGCAUUGGAUGCAUAUGUCCCUGACCUCGCAAGUGAAAAAGAGAGGAAGACGGCGACACCUCCAGGCUUCAGACUCAUUAAUCCUGUGAAUCGUGACCCACUCUUAAAACCAAGCCCUUCCUCCAGGGAAAGCAAGCUGCCAUGUUGUGAAGGCUGCUUUGGAGAGGCCCAAAUAGCAAGGAACUGUCUCUGUCCAACAGCCAAUGGGACCUGAGACCAAUAAAUACACAUGACUGAGUUUGGAAGUGGAUCCUUCCCUAGUCAAGCCUGGGGCAUUAAAUGAAUUUAUAAAUGGAGGUAAAACAUGUAGAACAAUUGUGGCACCUAGUAAAAGCUUAAUACAAUUUAGCAACACUACCUCUGAGUUUGCCUUUUCAUAUUUGUUAAAUGGGGAUAAUAUGAUCUAUUCCAUUGGAUUGUUGUAAACAUGAAAUAAAAUAAUGUAUUAGUAAGCACUUAAUGAAUAAUCACUACUGUUUAUCUUAACUGCCUAAACUGCUGUUUAGAUGAAAAGUGUUUUUGUUUGUUUGUUUUUAAGACAGGUUCUCACUCUGUCACCCAGGCUGGAGUGCAGUGGUGUGAUAACAGCUCACUGCAGCCUUGACCUCCCAGGCUCUAGUGAUCCUCCCACCUCAGCCUCAACUAGGACUACAGAGGCAUGACACCAUGCCCAGCAACUGGGUCUCACUAAGUUGCUCAAACUGGUCUCAAGUGAUCCUCCCACCUCAUCCUUCCAAAGUGGUAAAAUUACAGGCACGAGCCACCAUACCUGGCAAGAAGAAAGCUUUUUAAAAAUAGGAAUUGCAUUUUGGGCUGGGUACAGUGGUUCAUGCUUAUAAUCCCAGUGCUUUGGGAGGCCGAGGCAAGAGGAUCACUUGAGGUCAGGAGUUUGAGACCAGCC
rnacentral:lncRNA from 1 species